AUGCACCUGUUUGACAGACCUGGAGCAGGUACUGUCUACUGCAAUGAUUUCCACUACAGAUGCAAGAAAAAAGUACCCUCACAUUUUCUGUCUGAUUGUGACAGCCAAGAAUGAAUGGAGGAAUAUAGGA